rnacentral:rRNA from 1 species
GAUGAACGCUGGCGGCGUGCCUAAUACAUGCAAGUCGAGCGAACGGACGAGAAGCUUGCUUCUCUGAUGUUAGCGGCGGACGGGUGAGCAACACGUGGAUAACCUACCUAUAAGACUGGGAUAACUUCGGGAAACCGUAGCUAAUACCGGAUAAUAUUUUGAACCGCGUGGUUCAAAAGUGAAAGACGGUCUUGCUGUCACUUAUAGAUGGAUCCGCGCUGCAUUAGCUAGUUGGUAAGGUAACGGCUUACCAAGGCAACGAUGCAUAGCCGACCUGAGAGGGUGAUCGGCCACACUGGAACUGAGACACGGUCCAGACUCCUACGGGAGGCAGCAGUAGGGAAUCUUCCGCAAUGGGCGAAAGCCUGACGGAGCAACGCCGCGUGAGUGAUGAAGGUCUUCGGAUCGUAAAACUCUGUUAUUAGGGAAGAACAUAUGUGUAAGUAACUGUGCACAUCUUGACGGUACCUAAUCAGAAAGCCACGGCUAACUACGUG